rnacentral:rRNA from 1 species
AUGAACGCUGGCGGCGUGCUUAACACAUGCCAGUCGCACGAAGCACUUUAUUUGAUUUCCUUCGGGACUGAUUAUUUUGUGACUGAGUGGCGGACGGGUGAGUAACGCGUGGGUAACCUGCCUUGUACAGGGGGAUAACAGUUGGAAACGGCUGCUAAUACCGCAUAAGCGCACAGCAUCGCAUGAUGCAGUGUGAAAAACUCCGGUGGUAUAAGAUGGACCCGCGUUGGAUUAGCUAGUUGGUGAGGUAACGGCCCACCAAGGCGACGAUCCAUAGCCGACCUGGGAGGGUGACCGGCCACAUUGGGACUGAGACACGGCCCAAACUCCUACGGGAGGCAGCAGUGGGGAAUAUUGCACAAUGGGCGAAAGCCUGAUGCAGCGACGCCGCGUGAGCGAAGAAGUAUUUCGGUAUGUAAAGCUCUAUCAGCAGGGAAGAUAAUGACGGUACCUGACUAAGAAGCACCGGCUAAAUACGUG